CUACGGGAUGCUCCAGUGAGGAAUAUUACACAAUGGGGGGAACCCUGAUGCAGCAACGCCGCGUGGAGGAUGACGCAUUUCGGUGUGUAAACUCCUUUUAUAUGUCAAGAAAAUGACGGUAGCAUAUGAAUAAGCACCGGCUAACUCCGUGCCAGCGGCCGCGGUAAUACGGAGGGUGCAAGCGUUACUCGGAAUCACUGGGCGUAAAGGACGCGUAGGCGGGUUGGAAAGUCAGGUGUGAAAUCCUACAGCUUAACUGUAGAACUGCACUUGAAACUUCUAAUCUAGAGUAUGGGAGGGGGAGAUGGAAUUAGUGGUGUAGGGGUAAAAUCCGUAGAUAUCACUAGGAAUACCUAAAGCGAAGGCGAUCUCCUGGAACAUUACUGACGCUAAGGCGUGAAAGCGUGGGGAGCAAACAGGAUUAGAUACCCGCGUAGUC
rnacentral:rRNA from 1 species